rnacentral:rRNA from 1 species
GUGGGGAAUUUUGGACAAUGGGGGCAACCCUGAUCCAGCAAUGCCGCGUGUGCGAAGAAGGCCUUCGGGUUGUAAAGCACUUUUGGCGGGAGCGAAACGGUUUGGGCUAAUACCCUGAGCUAAUGACGGUACCCGCAGAAUAAGCACCGGCUAACUACGUGCCAGCAGCCGCGGUAAUACGUAGGGUGCAAGCGUUAAUCGGAAUUACUGGGCGUAAAGCGAGCGCAGGCGGUUAUGUAAGACAGAUGUGAAAUCCCCGGGCUUAACCUGGGAACUGCAUUUGUGACUGCAUAGCUAGAGUGUGUCAGAGGGGGGUGGAAUUCCACGUGUAGCAGUGAAAUGCGUAGAGAUGUGGAGGAACACCGAUGGCGAAGGCAGCCCCCUGGGAUAACACUGACGCUCAUGCUCGAAAGCGUGGGGAGCAAACAGGAUUAGAAACCCUAGUAGUCC